GACGAACGCUGGCGGCGUGCUUAACACAUGCAAGUCGAACGGGAUUUAGUAAACAGACUCCUCGGUGGAAGAUUACUAAUGAGAGUGGCGAACGGGUGAGUAACGCGUGAGCAACCUGCCUAUGACAGUGGGAUAGCCUCGGGAAACCGGGAUUAAUACCGCAUAAAAUCGUAGAAACACAUGUUUUAACGGUCAAAGAUUUAUCGGUCAUAGAUGGGCUCGCGUCUGAUUAGCUAGUUGGUGAGAUAACAGCCCACCAAGGCGACGAUCAGUAGCCGGUCUGAGAGGAUGAACGGCCACAUUGGAACUGAGACACGGACCAAACUCCUACGGGAGGCAGCAGUGGGGAAUAUUGCACAAUGGGGGAAACCCUGAUGCAGCGACGCCGCGUGAACGAAGAAGGUAUUCGUAUCGUAAAGUUCUGUCCUAUGGGAAGAUAAUGACAGUACCAUAGAAGAAAGCUCCGGCUAAAUACGUG
rnacentral:rRNA from 1 species